rnacentral:rRNA from 1 species
UACGGAAGGCAGCAGUGGGGAAUAUUGCACAAUGGGCGCAAGCCUGAUGCAGCCAUGCCGCGUGUAUGAAGAAGGCCUUCGGGUUGUAAAGUACUUUCAGUCGUGAGGAAGGUGUUAAGGUUAAUAACCUUAGCAAUUGACGUUAGCGACAGAAGAAGCACCGGCUAACUCCGUGCCAGCAGCCGCGGUAAUACGGAGGGUGCGAGCGUUAAUCGGAAUUACUGGGCGUAAAGGGCACGCAGGCGGUUAAUUAAGUUGGAUGUGAAAUCCCCGGGCUUAACCUGGGAAUGGCAUUCAAGCUGGUUAGCUAGAGUCUUGUAGAGGGGGUAGAAUUCCAUGUGUAGCGGUGAAAUGCGUAGAGAUGUGGAGGAAUACCGGUGGCGAAGGCGGCCCCUGGGACAAAGGCUGACGCUCAUGUGCGAAAGCGUGGGGAGCAAAC